rnacentral:lncRNA from 1 species
AUAAGUCUUUGAAUGACUAAGGGUUGGUAUAAGUGAAAAAUAUAAUGUAACUCAAGUUAUGUUAGACCUCGACUUCACCUGCUCUCGACUUCCUUCUCUAAAGUGCCGAACUCGACUACCACCACACUCAAACUACUCUAAAAUAUUUAUUAAACAGUAAAACCUAAACUCUACUUCCCUUAUAAUAGAUAAGAAUUAUCUUAUUUAUAAUAAAUUAGGAUUAUCUUUAAAUAAUAAUUAUAUAAUAAGUUAAAUUUUAUAACAGUAAAUUUACUAUUAUAUUUAGGAGAUAAUGGGAUCCACUUUUUUACAUCAAAACAAACAACGGAACUCACAAAACUAAUUUCACCAGUACCAAAUUAUAUCAAAACAAACAGAAGAAGUAAUUGAAUUUAACUUUCAGGGAAUACGAGUUACGUCAAAACAAACAACAAAAAAAUAAUCACACUUUAGGAAAACUCAAACACUACUGUACUUGACUUACGUUGGAUCUACAGAUUCGUCAAUCCAAACGGACCCAAAUUGGUCGAACAAACUUACUUUGAGAAAAGGAGAGUAGAGAGGGAAUUGAUGCAAUUUUUUUUGUUUUCUCAUUUUAAUUCUUUUUCCUUACAUAUGUAUGCAUAAGAACAUUAAAGGUUAAUGAAAUAAAAUUUUCCCUGUGAGGGUAAUUGUUUGGGAAAACUUCAAAAACUCUCCUGUGGUUUCGCAUUUUCUCACUUUAGUAUCCUAUGGUUUAAAGUGUAUCAAUUUGGUGCCUUGUGGUUUUAUUUUUAUCUUUUCGGCAGCUUUUUCUUUAAUAUUUCGUUAAAUUAUAUACAAAAAACUUCAGAUACCCACCUAAAUUUAUCGAAUAUACAUUUUAUUACCUUUUAAUUUUAAUUUUAACUUUGUCACUGAUUUAAGAAAAAAAAAAUAGUGCAAUUGAUUAUAAAAAAAAAAUAAUAAAACCACAGGGUACUAAAGUGAGAAAGUGCGAAACUACAUAAGGGGUUUUUGAAAUUUU